AGCAGUGGGGAAUCUUGGACAAUGGGGGCAACCCUGAUCCAGCCAUGCCGCGUGAGUGAAGAAGGCCUUAGGGUCGUAAAGCUCUUUCGCCUGUGAAGAUAAUGACGGUAGCAGGUAAAGAAACCCCGGCUAAACUCCGUGCCAGCAGCCGCGGUAAUACGGAGGGGGUUAGCGUUGUUCGGAAUUACUGGGCGUAAAGCGCGCGUAGGCGGACCAGAAAGUUGGGGUGAAAUCCCGGGGCUCAACCCCGGAACUGCCUCCAAAACUCCUGGUCUUGAGUUCGAGAGAGGUGAGUGGAAUUCCGAGUGUAGAGGUGAAAUUCGUAGAUAUUCGGAGGAACACCAGUGGCGAAGGCGGCUCACUGGCUCGAUACUGACGCUGAGGUGCGAAAGUGUGGGGAGCAAACAGGAUUAGAUACCCUGGUAG
rnacentral:rRNA from 1 species